rnacentral:rRNA from 1 species
AUGUGGCCAUGGGCGGCGUUGGUGCUGGUCGCGCUCUACCUGCAUCCGGCUGCGGCGGCGGCCGAUACUGUGGCGGCGGCGUCCUACUCCUACAUUGUGCACAUGGACAAGUCGGCCAUGCCGGGGGCGUUCUCGAGCCACCUGCGCUGGUACGAGUCCACGCUCGCCGCGGCCGCCCCGGGGGCAGACAUGUUCUACGUCUACGACCACGCCACGCAUGGCUUCGCGGCGCGGCUCUCCGUGGAUGGGCUUGACAGGCUCCGACGCUCCCCGGGAUACCUGUCGUGCUACCGCGACGACGCGAGGGCGGUGCGCGACACGACGCACACGCCCGAGUUCCUCGGCCUCGGCGUCGGCGUGGCCGGCGGAAUAUGGGAGGCGUCCGAGUACGGCGAGAACAUGAUCAUCGGCGUGGUGGACACGGGCGUGUGGCCCGAGAGCGCGAGCUUCCGCGACGACGGGCUACCCCCGGUGCCGGCGCGGUGGAAGGGCUUCUGCGAGUCCGGCCCGGCGUUCGACGCGGCCAAGGCGUGCAACCGGAAGCUCGUCGGCGCGCGCAAGUACAACAAGGGCCUCAUCGCCAACACCAAUGUGACCAUCGCAGUCGACUCCCCGCGGGACUCGGAAGGCCACGGCACGCACACGUCGUCCACGGCGGCCGGCUCGCCCGUAGCCGGCGCGUCCUUCUUCGGCUACGGGCGAGGCGUCGCUCGCGGCAUGGCGCCCCGCGCCAGGGUGGCGGUGUACAAGGCCCUGUGGGAGGACGGCGCGUACGCUUCCGAUAUACUCGCCGCCAUGGACCAGGCCAUCGCCGACGGCGUGGACGUGCUCUCCCUCUCCCUUGGCUUCAACGGCCGGCAGUUAUACGAAGAUCCCGUCGCAAUUGGCGCAUUCGCGGCCAUGCAGCGCGGCAUCUUCGUGUCAACCUCGGCCGGUAACGACGGGCCGGACGCCGGGUACCUUCGCAACGGUUCGCCGUGGGUGCUCACCGUCGCGGCGGGCACGGUGGACCGGGAGUUCUCUGCCGUCGUCCGGCUCGGCGACGGCACGACCUUGGUCGGCGAAUCGCUGUACGCCGGAACCCCACACAGCCUCGGAAACGCCGGGCUCGUGUUCCUCGGCCUGUGCGACAACGACACGGCGCUCGCAGCGAACCGCGGCAAGGUCGUGGUCUGCGACGUGCCGUACAUCGACGCCCUGACCCCCGCGAUAUCGGCGGUGAAAGCCGCCAAGGUGCGCGCCGGGCUGUUCCUGUCCAACGACACGUUGAGGGAGCUGUACGAGAACUUCCCAUUUCCGGGCGUGAUCCUGAAGCCACGAGGCGCCCCGGCGCUGCUGCACUACAUCCAGAGGAGCCGCGCGCCCAAGGCCUCUGUCAAGUUCGCGGUGACCGUGGUGGACACGAAGCCCGCGCCGCAGGUGGCGACCUACUCGUCGCGCGGCCCGUCGCGGAGCUGCCCGACGGUGCUCAAGCCCGACCUGCUCGCGCCCGGCUCGCUCAUCCUCGCCUCGUGGGCGGAGAACGCCAGCGUCGCCGACGCCGGGACGCAAUCGCCGCUGUUCAGCAAGUUCAACGUCAUCUCCGGCACGUCCAUGUCGUGCCCACACGCGUCAGGCGUGGCGGCGCUGCUCAAGGCCGUGCACCCGGAAUGGAGCCCCGCGGCGGUGCGGUCGGCGAUGAUGACGACGGCCAGCGCGGUGGACAACACCUUGGCUCCCAUCAAGGACAGGGCUGACGGCAUCCAGUACGCAGCCGACCCGCUUGCGAUGGGGUCCGGACACAUCGACCCGAACCGUUCCCUAGACCCGGGCCUGGUGUACGACGCCGGGCCGGACGACUACAUCAAGCUCAUGUGUGCCAUGAACUUCACGGCGGCGCAGAUCAAGACCGUGGUGCAGUCGUCGGGCCCCAUGGACUGCGCCAGCGCGACGCUCGAUCUCAAUUACCCGUCGUUUAUCGCGUUCUUCGACUACAACGGCGGAGAGAAGACGUUCACCAGGACCGUGACCAACGUGGGCGACGGGCCGGUGAGGUACAAUGCCACAGUGGAGGGACUGGACGGGGUGAAGGUGAGCGUCGUGCCCAAUAGGCUGCUGUUCGGCGGUAAGCACGAGAAGCAGAGGUACACGGUCGUGGUUCGGGUUGGGGAUAGCCAAAUAAUCCCCGAAGUAGUGUUGUAUGGAUCGUUGACAUGGGUGGAUGACACCGGCAAAUACACGGUGAGGAGUCCGAUCGUGGUGGCGUCGGCGAACUUUUCUCGGCCAUAG